AUCCUUUCGCAGCGGCAUUUUUCAUAGUCUAUGAGGUUUUACUGAGACGUGAUUAUUGCUAGUUGAAAACUUUACCCAAUACCCGCCCCGCCGUGACUUGAAAUAUAGUCAGCUCUGGCAAUUUUUGUCAGUCUCAUGGGAGA